rnacentral:rRNA from 1 species
CUGCAGCUUAGUGCAGCCGAGGGGAGGCUUGUGUAGACCUACAACCAGAAGCCGGUGUUGUCUUGACCUCAGCACAAAUUCUACAAGGGCUCGAAAUACUUUGAGAUCGACGUCGACGUGCACUGGUUCGGCUACAUAUCAUGAAAGGGCCUCGAGACCUUCCGAGAGCGGCACAAAGAUGGCGUCAUCGAUCUUGGACCGACCAUUGAGGUACUUACGUUUCCUUAUGUUAUUGACCUUGGGAUCAGUUGGCAUGAAGAGUAUUUUGUUCAGAGGAAGGCUAAAGUAUGA